rnacentral:lncRNA from 1 species
GAAAAAAAGAGAUCAAACAUCUAAAUUAAUUAGCAGUAAUCAAAAUUUUAAAACUAUUUAAUCUUAUAUAAUCUUUUCAUUGAUCAUGUUGUUUUAUUGACUGGGGUUAUAAUAUUUUUAAAACACCUGUCAAAACUUGACAACAUUAUUUAAUUGCUACACACCCAUACUUAAUCCUUAAUUACCCCUCUUGAUUACCUAUGCAGGAUGUCACAC